rnacentral:rRNA from 1 species
UACAGGGGGUGCAACGUUGCUCGGAAUCAUUGGGCGUAAAGCGCACGUAGGCGGUUCGUUAUGUCGGAUGUGAAAGCCCUUGGCUUAACCGAGGAAGUGCAUCCGAAACUGGCGAGCUAGAGUACGAAAGAGGAUCGCGGAAUUCCCGGUGUAGAGGUGAAAUUCGUAGAUAUCGGGAGGAACACCGGUGGCGAAGGCGGCGAUCUGGGUCGAUACUGACGCUGAGGUGCGAAAGCGUGGGGAGCAACA